AGAAUACAAGCCCGGGAGGAAGAGGGCAGGCAUAGGCCAGCCCCCUUGACUCUUCCCAGUUUCCCUUCCUCACUUACACCCCUGGGCUCCAUUAAGCAGUCCAGCUGUGGGCCACGUUUACCAGGUGCCCAGAGGUCACCCCUAGAAGGCUACACAGGGGUUGCACCCAGGGCCUUGCUUGGCACUUUCAGAGUUUAUAGCCUCUGGACCAGAAAAGGACUGACCCAUUUCAUUGGUUGAGGUCAGUAGGAAAUUAAAGUAAUUAGUGGGAACAGGACUGGGCUGGGUGUCAGAAGACCUGGGUUGACUUCCAGCUAGGCCAUUGCUUAGCCACGUGACCUUGAGCAAGGAACUUAAUCCCGGCAGACCCAAGUUUUUUUUCAGUUGAGAAAUGAGGUUUUGAUAAAAGUGAUCUGGGGAAUAAACCUGAGCCAAGUGAUCGAUUUUGUGUGCACGUGGGUGGCUGUGCCUCUGCAGCUAUGUGUAUACGUGUAAAGUAUGAAAGGAUCAAUCCAAGGAGAAAUGGAUUUGAGCAACCACAGCACAAACAUUCAGAAGUGGAAGUGAGCAGCCGGGAUGGUGAGAAGGUGAGUCAAAGCGGAGAAAGUGCUUUCCCGUUGGUCCUGUAAAACAAAUUGACCUAAAACGUAGCAGUGUAAACCAAAAACCAGUUCAUUUAAAACGAUCAUUUUUAAUGAUUUUGUGGGUUUUGAGGUCAGGAAGAGGGGCAUGGCUGCUUUGUUGUCACAUAGCUUUUCACACGAGGUUGCAGUCAGAUAAUGAGAGGGACUGCAACCAUCUGAAGGCUCCGCCUGGCUGCGUGUUGACACACCUGGGGACACCCACGCUGGCCUGUUCUCAGUGGAGGCUGGCUGCUGCUGGAGGCUCAGCAAGGCUGUGAUCAGAAGGCCUUUCUGGCAUGGCUUUCUCAGGGGAGGAAGGAAGGCUGUGCCUGAUGGUGGGCUUCUGCCCAGAGCAAGCAUCCCAGGAGAAGAAAGCAGAAGCGGCACAGCCUGUUCAGACCCAGCCUGAGAAGUCACACAGCGACACUGCUGUAUCAUCAAGUGUCAGUGGCUCAGUCGUGGUCAGUUUUUUGCAACCCCAUAGUCUGUAGCCCACCAGGCUCCUCUGUCCAUGGGAUUCUUCAGGAAAGAGUACUGGAAUGGGUAGCCAUUCCCUUCUCCAGGGGAUCUUCCCAACCCAGGAAUUGAACUUUGGUCUCCUGCAUUGAAGGCAGAUUCUUUAUCAUCUGAGCCAUAAGAUGACCAAUUUACCAUCUGACCAAUUUAAACUUAAUUGGUCAAAAUAGUCACCAGCGCAUCCUGGUUCAGAGGAGGGUGUGGAGGACUCUUGGUCUUGAUGACAGGAUGUUAGAGAAAGUUGAGGUCAAGUUGUAAAAGCGCCACUGGCACCGAACAAGAAUGCUCUGAUUUUUCUCAGUAUCUGUGAAAUAAAUGUCUUGAUAAUUUUUAUAAUUUUAUCAGCUUUCUGAGAUAAGAGGCUUCUUGACUAAUCUGGUUUGCUGAGUACUUAUGAAGUGAAGACUGAUUUGGAUGAUUCAGAAACAGACCUCUGCUCCUCGGGAUCUGACAGCUCACAGUGAAUUGGGACAAUAAUACUACACGAGACACAGCAGAGACCAACGCCCCAGGAGCCCCAGGAAACGGACUACGACCGAGGGAGAACACCCCAGAAUUCAUCUCAGGGAAAAUGUCUUUGAACCUACCUGAACUUGAGCUCUUCCAACGCCGGUGGCUGAAAGAAAACACACUUCAUGCUCUCCUCCUUGGUCUAAUUUCAGUGAUUAUUCCUUCCCAUCUUGCGCAGCUGCCAUCAGACUGAUUUUAGUUCCUGGGGAUUAAACAGUUUCUGAAGGUUGUUAUCACUCCCCUUCAGUGGAGCAUAUCUUCAAACACCUUCCUGGAUAAUUACCAUGGCCCAGUGAUUGGGCAAUCACCAGAGUGAUUUUAAACACACACACACACACACACACACAUUCUUCUCCAGCGUGUUCCUUUGUGUUUGUUUUGGUUUUGCAUUUUCAAAGCCCAGCGGUUCGUGAGAGACAGUAGAAGGACAAAAUAAAAAGACAUAUGGUAGUGCUUAAAUUAUUCCCCAAAAGGGAAAGUGUCCAACAUGAAAUUAUUCAGUCUUUCUACCAUUCUAGGGUGGGGAGGGAGGCAUUUCAACCAAGAAAAUCAUAGAAUAUCCACAAUACCCAGAGGAGGACUGAAUUAUAUUAUCAACUUCCAAAUACAGUCAGCAAUAUUUCACCAGAAAAGCUGCUUUGCAAAAAUUAAACCUCUAAUGUUUACACUGGGAAAUACCUCCAGUCCUUCUCUGCUGUCUUCCCUAGUCCCCCUGUAUACACACACACACACACACACACACAAAAUAUCUUUCUCUCCCCAGGAUUGUCUUUGUUUUGUUCACCUCUUUUAUCCUAACAUGUAGAUACGUGAUUCUGUAGUGAGACGCCCAAAUGUCUUCCAAAGGAAAGAUUACACAGAGUAGAAUUUUGUCUCUUAUUUUUCAAAAUGUUUUAAGAUCCUAUAAACUCAUCUGAUAUAAGCCUAUGGAAAAAGACAGCCAGAAGGAAAUCAAUGAAACAAUUCCGUGAGAUCUUUUUUCAUCCAAAUUGAUAACUAGGAAAGGAGGUGGAGGUUGGGUUUCAGCUUCCUGUUCUCUUACUCAGUUUAUGCGGCUUCAAUCCAUUCUACCCAGGCUUAGGCAUGUUACAUAAGGGUUUUAUGAAAUGAGAUAAAUCUUGAGAAAGACUUUUAAAUUUAAAUUUUAAAAACAAGUGAUACAUUCAUGAUUCAAUAUGAAACCACCAUAAUGUGUAUAUGUUACGAUGUCUGCCCCAUCUUCUUCAGGGCCUCCUCACCCCACCCCCACUCCUUAUAAAUAAGCAUAUUGUUAGUUUCUUGUGUAUCUCUCCAGUGUUUGUGCUAAUACAAACAAACACAAAUAUAUCCACAUUUUCCUCCCUUUUCCAUUGUUUUUGAGAAGGAAUUUAAGAGAGCUAGAACUGGCCUUGUUUGUGCCAGUGGUGGGAAUACACAAGGAGAGAGAUCAUAAUGGAAUAUCAGAAGCUCAUAAGAAGGGAAAUGAUUUCUCAGUUAUUUAGAUUCCCUGAAUCACUUUCUUUGACAUUGGUUCUUUGGUUAAAUCUAUUCUUUGGGCCUCUUAAUUCUUAAAACUUAUAAAAUCUUUAUUGUUUGCACAAGCAAAAUUCUAGAUAGUUUAUAUAUAAUAGCUCAUCUCUUGCUUAACAACAAAAACAUGUAAAUGGCACAUCCUUAAGAGAAGAACAUAAAGUGUAAUAGCAAGUGCAGAGCAGAGUCCCCUUACCCGGCGAUCUGACUCUGGACAUCCAGUGGGGAGGCUGACCAUGGCCUGAGGGAAGAACAAUCAUUCUGCUUUGGAAGCUUUUUUUGUUUUACAUGUACCCAUGAAUAGAGAAGGGGCUUCCCAGGUGGCGCUAGUGGUAAAGAACCCGCCUGCCAGUGCAGGACACUUAAGAAAUGCAGGGUCAUCCCCUGGGUUGGGAAAAUCCCCUGGAAAAAGGCAUGGCAAUCCAGUCAGUAUCCUUGUCUGGAGAAUUCCAUGGACAGAGGAGCCUAGCAAGCUACAGUCCUUAGGAUCGCAAAGAGUCGAAUACAACUGAAGCGACUUAGCACAUACGCGUGCAUGCAUAGAGAAAACAAGGGCCUUAGAUCGUCUUACUCUUCUGACACUUGGGAGUCUAAAGUAGAACCAUUUGGUAGAUUUUAGAACAACCACAGGAAUGUGUAUGUAACCAGAUAAUUGAUGCUGGGCAUUGUGUGGGACUGUGCCAGACUCCAAAAACAAUUAAAUCAUUUAAAACUCAUAUUUUGGAAGCGAACAGACAACAGUGACAACUACCUAUCUUGUGAGCAAGUUGAAACACAAUAAUGAUGUAAUUUGUUGCCAUUUUUCAGUGCGUAGUAUUGUAUUAUAUGCCAGAUGAAUAAAAAACUAAAUCGUGAAUGACAUAUAGAAUAAAUGAUUGCAUGGAUCAUAUUGUAACAAUUGCUUUACAUGGUUGAUGCUUUCCUAAAGAGUUAUAUGAUUGAUGAGUUUGGGGAAACCAAACAAAAUUUGAUUAAAUGUUUACAUAAAUCCUUAAGAUGACUCAUUUAUUUUGAUUUUUUAUUUAAAUGAAAUAUAUAAAAAGAUUUUAAGAUAUCUUAACAGGACAAAAAGUGUGCAGUAAAACAAAUCUCCUCCCCACCCCAUCCUAGUUCCCCAGAGCUAUUCCUUGGCCACACCCCCCAACAUACCACUUUCUUGUUUCCCCCAGGGAUAUUC
ensembl:lncRNA